GAUACGAGUUUGAUCCUGGCUCAGAACGAACGCUGGCGGCAGGCCUAACACAUGCAAGUCGAGCGAACCCUUCGGGGUUAGCGGCGGACGGGUUAGUAACGCGUGGGAAUAUACCCUUUGGUACGGAAUAGCCUCGGGAAACUGAGAGUAAUACCGUAUGUGCCCUUCGGGGGAAAGAUUUAUCGCCAAAGGAUUAGCCCGCGUUGGAUUAGAUAGUUGGUGGGGUAAUGGCCUACCAAGUCUACGAUCCAUAGCUGGUUUGAGAGGAUGAUCAGCAACACUGGGACUGAGACACGGCCCAGACUCCUACGGGAGGCAGCAGUGGGGAAUCUUAGACAAUGGGCGCAAGCCUGAUCUAGCCAUGCCGCGUGGACGACGAAGGCCUUAGGGUUGUAAAGUCCUUUCAGAUGGGGAAGAUAAUGACGGUACCAUCAGAAGAAGCCCCGGCUAACUCCGUG
rnacentral:rRNA from 1 species